rnacentral:rRNA from 1 species
GGAAUCUUCGGCAAUGGACGAAAGUCUGACCGAGCAACGCCGCGUGAGUGAAGAAGGUUUUCGGAUCGUAAAACUCUGUUGGUAGAGAAGAACGUUGGUGAGAGUGGAAAGCUCAUCAAGUGACGGUAACUACCCAGAAAGGGACGGCUAACUACGUGCA